UACGAAGGGUGCAAACGUUGCUCGGAAUUACUGGGCGUAAAGCGCGUGUAGGCGGUCUCGCAAGUCGGAUGUGAAAGCCCAGGGCUCAACCCUGGAAGUGCACUCGAUACUGCGAGGCUAGAGUCCCGGAGAGGAUGGUGGAACUCUCGGUGUAGAGGUGAAAUUCGUAGAUAUCGAGAAGAACACCGGUGGCGAAGGCGGCCAUCUGGACGGUGACUGACGCUGAGACGCGAAAGCGUGGGGAGCGAACAGG
rnacentral:rRNA from 1 species